GCUGCAUGGCCUACCCAUAGCGGCGGUGGGAGCCUCCGCCGGGGAGAGCCCGCUCGGGGGCAGGAAGUGGCCCGGCCCUCCUCGUGGAGGGCGUUUCCGGAGCGCCUACUGUGCUCCUUGCCGGGGUGGGGGUCGUUACCGAGUGGGAACUUCUGCAAAUCCUGACUUUUGUCACUUCGCGCCCCGCACAAGAUGUCCUGCCGGCGGUGCGAUUGGUCCCGUUGCUUCGAGGGGAAACUGAGGCCACUUAGUCCGGGCACUUACCCGCAGCUAGUUAAGGACUAGGCUCUGAUGGAGACGCUUGUUACGACCUCAAUGGCCUGUAGAAUCUGGGAGGCCGCCUCCGACCUAAGCCCAAAAAGCACAUGAUCGGGCUCACAGGGGGCGGCCAGAGGUGAAAACAGCCAACGCUUUACAACGACGCUGUGCGGGGCACUUCGUGUGUGUCAUCCCGUCUCAUCCUCGGGUGAUAGGAACUGUUCAUUCGGGAAAAUUGCAAACAACUAAAUACCCCUCACCAGGAGCUGGCCCAUUAUAGCAACUCUGAGACCUCUCUACCGCAGGCUCUUAAAAUGGGGUAAGUUGGUGCGCGCUAAUGUAGGGGCAUGACCAAGGUAUAUUUAUUGACAGCUUACAGUGUCCCAACAAGGAGGGACUUUGGACAUAGUUGGUGAGAACUUUAGUGGGAAAACUUUUUCCAAGUGAUAAGUUAUUGUCAUUUUUCUCUCCCCUACUUUCUUUUUUCUUUUUUUUUUUUUUUUUGAGACAGAGUCUCGUUCUGUCGCCCAGGCUGGAGUGCAGUGAUGCGAUCUCAGCUCACUGCAACCUCCACCUCCCAGCUGCAAGCGAUUCUCCUGCCUCAGCCUCCUGAGUAGCUGGGACUAAAGGCGCCCACGCCCACCACCGUGCCCAGCUAAUUUUUGUGUUUUUAGUAGAGACUUGAGUUUUGCCAUGUUGGCCAGGCUGAUCUUGAACUCCUGACCUCAAGUGAUCCACCGCCUCAACCUCCCAAAGUGUUAAGAUUACAGGUGUGAGCCUAGCUUUCUCCUCCUCUUUCUAAAUUAAAAAGAAAUAUUGUGAUAAGAAGCUCCUCCUACCUUUUUUCCCCAUGUUUGAAGAAACUGGGUUGCUAAGGGAAGAAAAGACUUGCCUAAUAGGAGUUUGGGGUCCUGACCCCUGGAAGGGAGCUGGGGAUAGACUAGGAGAGGAAGGAGAGGUGGAAAGGCAUCCAAGCCCAGACCAGCCUGGCUGCCCAGGUCAUCUAAGUCAGUUCCCUGCCUCCGUACCAGAAAAACCCAAACCGGAGGCUCUUGGAUGUGAGGCUCCAGGUUCAUCCUGCCAGUUUCUAGUGAACUUGGUGAUCACAUAGGUUUAAAUGAAUAAAUCCACUUUUGUUAAAAAAAAAAAAAAGUGAGCCGCUUCCUUUUUUUUUUUGAGACAGAGUUUCGCUCUUGUUGCCCAGGCUAGAGUGCAGUGGCGAGAUCUCGGCUCACUACAACCUCCGCCUGCCAGGUUCAAGUGAUUCUCCUGCCUCAGCCUCCUGAGUAUCUGGGAUUACAGGCAUGCACCACCACGCCCGGCUAAUUUUGUAUUUUCAGUAGAGACGGGGUUUCGCCAUGUUGGCCAGGCUGGUUUUGAACUCCUGACCUCAGGUGAUCUACCUGCCUUGGCCUCCCAAAGUACUGAGAUUACAGGUGUGAGCCACCACACCUGGCCACCGCUCCCUUUUUGAUGGAAGUGGGGAAAGGCACCAGCAUUCACUGAGAAUCCAUAUGAGCCAAGUUGCAUCUCAGGAUAAAGGAGAAGAUGGGCUUCUGUGGGGUAGAGGGAAGAGUCCAACAAAGGCCAGGGAGGGUGAAAGUGUUCAGGAAACAACUGGAUUGGUUGAGAUGGAAGGGCUGUGAAGGCCAGGAUGAAGAAUUUGGAUUUGGCAGUGUGGGCAGUAGAGAGCUCCAGCUGGUUCCUGCGGAGAGCUGGGGAGAGACUGGAGGGAGGAUAGUUGGUGACUCAGCUCUGGAUAAUUGAGGCCGAGCGGAUGGAGACCCGCCUCUGAGAUCUAGGGAGAUUUGUGGCUGUUAUGUGAGGUUCUGCAUUUUCAUCUAAUGUUGAUAAGUGGAAUUCCACAUCUUCCUCCUGAAAAGUCUUGCAGUGUCUUGUUGGUCAACCACAAUUUGCCUAGCUUUCUCCUAGUUGUUGGGUAUUUACUCACGUAACUAAUUUCUGAGUGCCCACCUGUGUCUGGCUGUGUGCCUAUGGCUGGAAAACCUACAGCCAAGCUUACUCCUGAAGGCUUUGGGCGACAGUGCCUUGCGGUGGGAAGGCUGUGGCCCUGGGACUUGGUUACUAGCCAGGUGAUUUAGGAAAAUCAUCCACACCUUCUGAACCUCCCUUUUCUCAUGUUGUGGAAACACAAGGCUUCGGUGAGAGUCAAAGAAAACAGGCACACCCCUUGUUUCAUUGUGCCUUGCUUUUUUGCGCUUUGCAGGUACUGCGUUUUUUUCAAAUUGAGGGCUUUUGGCAACCCUGUGUCGAGCAAAGUCUACCAGCAUUAUUUUUCCAAAAGGAUGCUCAGUAUGUGUCUCUGUGCCACAUUUUGGUAAUUCUUGAAAUAUUUCAAAGUUUGUUAUUAUUAUAUCUAGUAUGGUGAUCUGCGAUCAAUAAUCUUUGAUGUUACUAUUGUAAUUGUUUUGGGGCAUCAUGAAUGAUGCUUGUGUAAGACGGUAAACUUACUCCAUCAAUAUUGUAUGUGUUCUGACCGCUCCACCAACCAGCUGUUUGCAAUUAGUAAUCGUACAGUGGCCUCUAAGUGUUCAAGUGUAAGGAAGAGUUGCAAAUCUCUCACUUCACAUCAAGAGCUAGAAAUAAUUAAGCUCAGUGAGAAAGGCAUGUUGAAAGCCAAGAUAGGCCUUUUUUUUGUUUUUUUAGUUUUUAGUAGAGACGAGGUCACGCUAUGUUGUCCAGGCUGGCCUCCAACUCCUGGGCUCAAGUGAUCCUCCUGCCUCAGCCGUCCCAAGUGUUGGGAUUAAAGUUGUGAGCCACCAUGCCCCGCCUCUGGAGUAGCACUUUUAAUUUCACUCAAGAACAAUUGGCUGGGCGCGGUGGCUCACACCUGUAAUCCCAGCUACUGGGGAGGCUGAGGCGGGAGAAUUGCUUGAAUCUGGGAGGCAGAGGUUGCAGUGAACUGAGAUCACGCCACUGCACUCCAGCCUGGGCGACAGAGCAAGACUCUGUCUCAAAACAAACAAACAAAAACUAUCUGGCUAGGUCUGGUGGCUCAUGCCUGUAAUCCCAACACUUCGGGAGGCCGAGGCAGGGGAAGGUCUCUUGAACCCAGGAGUUUGAGGCCAGCCUGAGCAACAUAGCAAGACCCCCUCUCAACAAAAAAUAAUCAGCUGGGCAUGGUGGCGAAUGCCUGUAGUCCCAGCUACUUGGGAGGCUGAGGUGGAGGAAGGCUUGAGCCCAGGAGGUUGAGGCUGUGGUGAGGUAUAAUUGUGCCACUGUACUCCAGCCUGCGUGAAAGAGUGAGACCCUGUCUCAAAAAUUGGCCAGGCGCAGUGGCUCAUGCCUGUAACCUGAGCACUUUGGGAGGCCAAGGCAGGUGGGAUCACUUGAGGUCAGGAGUUCGAGACCACCCUGGCCAACAUGGUGAAAGCCCAUCUGUACUAAAAAGAAAAAAAAAAUACAAAAAUAAAUAAAGAAAAAGGUG
rnacentral:lncRNA from 1 species